AUUGAACGCUGGCGGCAGGCCUAACACAUGCAAGUCGAGCGGAUGAAGGGAGCUUGCUCCUGGAUUCAGCGGCGGACGGGUGAGUAAUGCCUAGGAAUCUGCCUGGUAGCGGGGGAUAACGUCCGGAAACGGGCGCUAAUACCGCAUACGUCCUGAGGGAGAAAGUGGGGGAGCUUCGGACCUCACGCUAUCAGAUGAGCCUAGGUCGGAUUGGCUAGUUGGUGGGGUAAAGGCCUACCAAGGCGACGAUCCGUAACUGGUCUGAGAGGAUGAUCAGUCACACUGGAACUGAGACACGGUCCAGACUCCUACGGGAGGCAGCAGUGGGGAAUAUUGGACCAUGGGCGAAAGCCUGAUCCAGCCAUGCCGCGUGUGUGAAGAAGGUCUUCGGAUUGUAAAGCACUUUAAGUUGGGAGGAAGGGCAGUAAGUUAAUACCUUGCUGUUUUGACGUUACCAACAGAAUAAGCACCGGCUAACUUCGUG
rnacentral:rRNA from 1 species